AUGGGCUCUCUGGUUUUAGCAGCUGACCUGUCUCAUCCCUCUGUCCCCAGUCUAGAGCCUCUGCACUCCCAUUGUCCUAGGUCUCGUAUUGGGCAGAGGGCUCGGCUUCUGACCCGCCCUGCUCACAGGUUCCUGGGCACCGAUUCCCACGACUCCUACUUCUCCAACGGGCAGAGGCAUCGUGUGGUGGCAGAGAUCCUGGCUCGCACAGUCUAUGGGAAGCAGGAACGAGAAGAGAUGGGCAUUGCCCAUCUGCUGGCCGAGGGAGUCUAUGCUGCAGCCUUCCCACUGCAUGAGGUAGAGAUGUCCCAAGCUCAGCUCGCUCCCACUGCUGGGGCAGCAGGAGAGAAUUCUGGGACUUCCCUGCAGCCCUCUCUCCUUUCAUUUCCCUAGGGCCCCUUUGAACUGCCGGGGUACCAGGUGCCUGGUGCAGACCUCAACCCUUGCCAAUUACUGUACUUAUACUGGGCCCACUGGGGAUACUGGCACAAUACCAGCCUCUGGACCACAUACAAGAGUACUUUGGGGAGGAGAUGGCCAUCUACCUUGCCUGGCUAGGGGAGCCUGGCACUGGGAGUGGGGGCUGGGAGCCGGUGUUGAGUACACAGAUGGGGGCUCAUGAGCUUUCUGUCACCCCUUCAGGCUUCUGCGCAGUCUGGCUGCUGCCUGCCACCCUUGUGGGCACCCUGGUCUUUAUCUGUGGUCUGGCCACCAUAGGCACCAACACACCAGCAUGAGUGGCUGUGUUGGGGGGGUUGGCAGAUGGGCUGGGUGGGGAUAGACUCUCCCAGGAUGGGCAUCCUUUGUUCAUAGGGAAGAGAUCUGUGCCAGUGGAGGUGCCUUCCUCAUGUGGCCACUCUGUGACACCUGUGCCACAUGGAAUAUUUCCGAUGAUAGAAGCUUUGGUGAGGUUAGACAUUGGGACCUUUGGAGUCUCAAAGAGAAGCCCUGCCUGGAAUGGGGAAGAAGGGGAGAAGCAUUCCACUCACCAACCCAGCCAGCCAGCUGCCUAUCCAUCCAAACGUCCAAUCAUUGAUUCUGUAUCUGUUUGGUUCCGUCUCCACUGUCACCCUCCAGCCCAAGCCAGCAUUCUCUCACCUGGACCACUGCAGUGGCCUCCCAACAGGUCUCCUUGCUCCUCUGUUUGCCCCACUUAAUCCGUUCUCAGCUGCCAGGGCAUUCUUUUGAAAACACAAAUCACAUCCUGCAUUAUCCUACUCAGAGCCUUCCAGUGGGUCCUCAAAUGGGAUGGCAGCCUACAGGGCGUUGUGUGAUGUGGCUUCUGCCUAGUUCUGCUCCACUCGCUCCACUGGCUCCUUUCUAUUUCUCGAAUAGAACAAGGUCAUUUCUACCCCAGGGCCAUGGCACUGGCUCUUCUCUGCUAGAAUCCUCUUCCUCCAGACAUUUUUUUUUCUUUUUUGAGGAAGAUUAGCCCUGAGCUAACAUCGGCUGCCAAUCCUCCUCUUUUGCUGAGGAAGACUGGCCCUGAACUAACAUCUGUGACCAUCUUCCUCUGCUUUAUAUGUGGGAUGCCUACCACAGCAUGGCUUGCCAAGCUGUGCCAUGUCCACACCCAGGAUCCGAACCAGUGAACCCCGCGCCACCAAAGUGGAAUGUGCAAACUUAACUGCUGCGCCAGCAGGCUGGCCCCUCCUCCAGACUGUAUACGGCCUAUGUCCUGUCAUUCAGAUCCCAACUUAUAUGUCACCUUCUUAGAGAGGCCUUCCUUGACCCCCCCAAUCCAGAGGGGCUCCCUCUCACAGGGAUGUUUUAAUUUCAUCACAGCAUCUAUCACUAUACUUUCUUGUUUGUUUGUUUGUUGUCUGUCCUCUGCCACUAGAAUGUGAGCUCAUGAGAGCAGAAACCUUGUUUGUGAUGUUACUGUAUCCCCAGGCCCUGAGACAGUCCCUACCAUAUAGAGAGUGCUCAAUAAAUGUUUGUUGAAUGAAUCUAUGAAUCA
rnacentral:lncRNA from 1 species